GUUAUGUAUUGAAGAAUACAGUCUAUAAUACAUAUAAAAUAUGUGUUAAUUGACUAUACUAUCAGCAAGGCUUCAAGUCAAGGGGGAGGUGGAUGCCAUGUUGUGAGGACACUCAAGCAGCUCUACAGAGACGCCCCCAGGAUGAGAAACCGAGGCCUCCUGCCAACAGCCAUAGAGUGCACCAUCCAGUCCCAGUCAAACCUUCAGAUGACUGCAGCCCAGGCCAACACCUUGAUUGCAGCUUCAUAAGAGACUCUGAUAGUAGCACCACCCAGAUGAGGAGACUGAAGUACAGGAGAGGUUACAUAACUUAUCCAAGGCACUUGCUGAAUGCUGAAUGAACCACAUGUCCUAACUGAAGGCCCACAGAGUCCACUGGGAAGGUUCUAGUUCAUGCAACUGAGGAUAGAUCCAUUGUGUGGUACUUUCCAGUUAUAAAAGCAGAAAAAUUCUGGAUAAGUGAAACCAAAAUAAAGUCUUUUCAGACACCACUGAAAUUAGUAGAAAGAAAGAAAAAUCCCCAUACUCCAGAAAUGAAAAGGAAACUUAAAGCUAGAAAAGGAAGCUUUGGUUAGAUGCUUUGGACAGCAGAGGGGCUGAGUCAUCUGGACAGAGAGGCUCAUGGUGUGGGGCUGGGGACCAAAUGCCCUUGCUGGGAUGGAAGGUGGGGUCGAGGACCUGCAGAAGGCUGAAGGCUAAACUGAGAUGUCCUACUCAGAGCUGGAACUCUGAAAGGGCUAUCCUUCCACAAAGGGAAGCUCAGAACAGAAGCAAUGAUGAAGCCACUGUCAGCGUGUGCACUGUCAAAGCAUCAGGUGUGGGUCAAGUACAGAGGCAGUAGGGAGCACGAGCGUAUAUUCCCACAUAGUAUGGGAAUCCCCAGAAAUAAGCAUGAGACGGGACUUAGGCAGGUGCCCUGCAAAAGCAAAGGCUAAGUCACUCUUUGUGGAACUUUCCACAGUCCAGGGUGCACAGAGCACCCAGAGAUAAAUAACUCCCCUGGAACAUGAGCUCUCAAAUAAGAAGAACAAACUACACAAGAAGCUAUCAACUGUGAGAAAGACUCAGCAGACAUAACACACAUGAAAAUAGCACAUAGGAACUCAAGAUUAUCUAUCUGAAGAGACUAAAAAUAAGUGGGUUCUAAUGCUUUAAAGGGAAGAGAUAAAAUGACUAUAAAUGCAAAUGGAAUAAUAGAGCCUGUGUGGAAAAAAAAAAAACAAAUAAAAGAAAAUUAAGCUACUUGCAUUCCCAGAAAAAAAAUUGAGUAACUGACAUGAACAAAAAGAUAAUGUGCCAACAGAUAGGACUUAACUGAAGAUAAUUGAUUGCUUGAGUGAUCAAACUGAAGAAACUGGAGAUAGAAAAUGCAAACCAAAGUUGCAGAAAUAUUGAGAAGAGAAUAAGAAGCUCCUAACAGGGCAGGAUGUAGUGACUCAUGCCUACAUGCACAGCACUUUGGGAAGCUGAGGUGGGAGCACUGCUUGAGCCUAGGAGCUUGAAACCAGCGUGGGUAACAUAGCCAGACCCUGUCUCUACAAAACAAAAAUACAGAAAUUAGACUGUGUGAUGGUGUAUGCCUGUGGUCACAGUUACUUGGGAGGCAGAGGGAGGAGGAUCACCUGAGCCUGGGAGGUUGGGCGUGAGCUGUGAUCGUGCCACUGCACUGUAGCCUGCAAGAGUGAGAUCCUGUCUCAAAAAACAAUAAUAAUAAUAAAAAAAGAAGAUCUUAAUAGACUAACAGGAGUCCUAAAAGUAGAAAAGAGAGAGGAUGCAGGAGAUGCCAUCUCAAAGUCAUCACACUUGAGAACUUUCCAGACAUGCUAAGACCUCAGUUGACAUUGUAUAUCACAUCCCAAGAAGGAUAAAGAAAAACGUAUCCACACCCAGAGUCAUGGUAGUGAAGCCACAGAGCACUACAGACCAGCAGGUGUGUGAUGAAGAUGAGUCCUUAGAGGAUUAAUAGCUGACGAGGGGCGCCCGAGAGGCUCCAAGGGGGGAAAGGGCAGCCACCAGGGAAUGCCAGAAGCAGUGAGGUGGCCACUCCAGAUACACGAUGGUGAGAUGAGGAGACAGCUAGACAGGGCACUAGAGCGAGAUGAGCGCGAGAGGCUGGGGAGAAUUCCGGGGGCUCAGAGGGAGGUAGGGGUGUAGGAUGGAAGUGGCCAUGAUAGGGAGGUGGGACCUGCUCUGGGAUAUUGAUGUGUGCCCCUCCUGUAGGCCAAGGACAGUCACUAAAGACUUUAAGCAGAGUGGGGACAGGGUAGGAUUUGCAUUGUGGAAGGUGCUCUGGCUGCGGUGUGGUGGGUGGACAGGAAAUGGGUAAGCAAGGAGUCAGGGCUGGAAGAUUGUUAGCACUACCCAGGCAUGAGACAGAGGCUGGGGGCCAGAAUGCAGGCAGGGCAACGAGGAGGGGGCAGCCCUGGGAGGGGCUGAAAGACGUGCAGGGAGUAGGGCCUGCAGCAGGAGGGACUAGGGGCUGAGGUGACCUCCAUGGGUCCCCAGACACAGGCCAUGCAAGCUUUCCGAUCUUAACAAAGUGGGUUUUACAUGUCACUCUCUUUUCACUAUUCACUGCUUCACUGUCUGUCUUUUAAUAGCCAACACCAAACAUUAUUAAUUCACAAUUAUUAACUCACUAUUAUGAAUAAUCUUGAAAAGCAAUUCACGUUUACUGUGGGAUCAGUGGUAAAAUAGGACAUUCUUUGCUAGGUAAUGUGACAUAAUGGGAAGCAGAAGAAUGCCUAAACUAUUCAUCUGCUGUAUAGGGAGGUCUCUUUAGAAAGGAAGAAAACACUUCUCCUAAAUGUGGACAGACACAGAGCAUGUAAGUAAUAGGGAUUUGUGAGGGCUUUGGGGGAAGAUGAUGUUUAUAAUCACAGUGAUUUCUCAGUAUCAUAAAUGGAUAUAGCUGAAAUCUCAUAGGCUACUUCAGGGCCUUAGACAGCCUAGACUGGCCUUGCCCAUCCUCCCCAGGCCUCCUGGGUGCAUGGGGGACACACGGUUUCUUAGUCCAGGAAUAAGAGGAGAUAAUAGGCGUCUACCUGUGGUCAAGGCACAAGGUCAAAGAAUCGGCAUUACUGAAUGUCCACAGUGUGCCAGACUCUCCAUAUGGAAAUUCUAUUAAUAAACGAAUCUCACGUCAAGUGUGACUGUAUUAUUACAGCUCUUUUAAAGGCAGGGAAAGAGGCACUUGGAGAAGUGUCUUGAUGGAAGCCAGGAGCUGAGAGAGGUGUGUGAAGCCAGCCUGUGGGGAACCCUGCUGCAGCCCCACCUGAAUCCAGGGCUCCCCAGCGGGGGCCCUCCCGCCAGCCCCUGCUUCUUCAUGAGGGGUCUUGUGGGGAUUGCGGGGGCUUGGGGCAGUGGCCAGGCUGGGCUCCCCCAUGCUCUUGCUGUGUGGUCUCCAGAAUUCACUUAACCUCCUGCUGCCUUGGCCCCCCCAUUUGUGAAACGGGGAUCAAAUUCCAGCGCUGCCAGUCUGUCUGCCCAGUGCGGUGGGUGAUUAAUGAGACCAUGGAGGGGAUGUGUUGUGCCCUGGGGCAGACUAAUUUAUCACGGAGCAGAGUCCAUGUUUCUUCUUCCUUCCACACCCUGCCAAAGAUUAAAAUAAACAAGCAAAAGGUAAAAUAAACUAAGGGGAAAUUUUCCAGAAUUUUAUUGCAUAACAUUUAAUAAUUACAAACUAACUUAAGCUAAAAUCCUUCAUUUCAUCAGUAACUCUGAUCAUUAUCUGAGAGAGCUGAUUCGGUUUUGGAGCUGGUAUAAUUGUCAAGAGCUUAAGCAGACUUAGCUUUUUAUUCCCUAAGUAAAAUGGAUUAGGCACAAAGUGACAUUUCAAAAAUGACCACGGUUUCCAAACACCUUAAGGGCUUUGAGGUUUCGGCCUUUCUCCAGGGAGAUUCUGGGGAAGAGUUUAAAUAAUUCCAAACCAGCUUUCAGCUCAUUAUAAUUUCUCACAUUUAGAACUGAAUAAAAUUUUUAUGUUUUUCUCUCAAAGGUAAGACUUAAGGACAGAGCAGGGAUAUCCGUCUUUAAAAAUAUCAUCAGCAAAUACUUACAUAUAAGUCACUGGACUAGAUGCUUAGCUGCUGUUCUGUGGGGAGUGCUGUAAACGCUGUCUGCUGAGGUUCAGGCCUACAGGGAGAUGUGAAAAUGUACGCACAUCGUCUUGCCACAUGGCGGACAGAGUCGUGGCGACACCGAGGAUUGCCAGGCCUCCAAGGUCAGAUGCUUUAAGACAAGCACACGUGGUUGGAAUUCAGGAGGGACUUAUGCUCUGCCAAGGCUUCAGGCUGAGAACACUUUUGCCAGUUUCUGACACGCUCCUAGAUGCUGCAGACCCUUUCAUUCAUGGGAUAAAUGCGAGGUGGGUGUGACUGUGUGCCGGGCUAUGUAACAGGUGUGGGCUGUGAAGAUCAACAAACGUGAGGCUUAUUUAAGACUCACAUGUGCACAGGUGGGAGACAGCAAGUGGAGGCUGGGCAGGGAUCACAUCUAGCAAAGAUCAUCCUUCCCUGCCCCAGUGCUGGGCCAGAGGGAAAGCAGAUGUCCUUCCAAGAGGUGGUGAAAGUUGGGAUUCUUAUGUAAAGCUUCCUGAUUUUCAAGUAUUAGCGAUUAACUGCAAAACCAUGUUUCUUUCAACACUGGGUGCUGUGUUCAGCCAAAUACAGCUAGUUAGCAACCUCCCUCUAAGUUUUCUUUCUGCUCAAAACUCUCUACUUUCAUCCCCAGCAGCCAGAUGUCUUGCCUGUGUGUCCUGGGUGAGAAUGUUCCAAAA
rnacentral:lncRNA from 1 species